AACGAACGCUGGCGGCAUGCCUAACACAUGCAAGUCGAACGAGAUCCCUCGGGGUCUAGUGGCGCCCGGGUUCGUAACGCGGGGGGAUCUGCCCUUAUGUUCGGACUAACAGUUAGAAAUGACUGCUAAUACCGGAUGCUGACGUUAAGUCCAAAGGGUUGUCGCCUGAGGAUGAGCGCGCGUUGGAUUAGGUGGUUGGUGUGGUAAAGGCGAACCAAGGCGUCGAUCCUUAGCUGGUCUGAGAGGAUGAUCAGCCACACUGGGACUGAGACACCGCCCAGAUUCGUACGGGAGGCGGCAGUGGGAAAUAUUGGAGAAUGGGCGCAAGACUGAGCCAGCAAUGCCGCGUGAGUGAUGAAGGCGUUAGGGAUGUAAAGCUCUUUUGUCCGGGAUGAUAAUGACAGUACCGGGAUAAUAAACCCCGGCUAACUCCGUG
rnacentral:rRNA from 1 species